rnacentral:rRNA from 1 species
GUCCACGCCGUAACGAUGAGUGCUAGGUGCUGCGGUAUUGACCCUGCGGUGCCGUAGCUAACGCGUUAAGCACUCCGCCUGGGGAGUACGGCCGCAAGGCUAAACUCAAAGGAAUUGACGGGGCCCGCACAAGCGGUGGAGCAUGUGGUUCAAUUCGACGCAACGCGCAGAACCUUACCUGGGUUAAAUCCACUCGAACCUUGCAGAGAUGCGGGGUGCUCUUCGGAGAGCGAGUGAGAAGGUGCUGCAUGGCUGUCGU